rnacentral:tRNA from 18 species
GGGGCUAUAGCUCAGCUGGGAGAGCGCAACACUGGCAGUGUUGAGGUCGGCGGUUCGAUCCCGCCUAGCUCCACCA